UGAUAAUACCUACAAGGAUCAGUAUAGUCUUCCUGGUAUAAAUACUAUUAUGGCUAAGGUUGGUCAUAGUCGUAUUUAUUCGAAGUUUGGAAUUUUGCAAAGAGAUUCCUAUUCCAGGAUAUUACGGUCGUGAUCCUUCUCCUGCAUAUGAGGGCCUCAGUGGAAUAUGAAUAUUCAGACCCUGUGAUGAGCAUCAUCUCGUCGGGAUCUGUAUAACACCUCAGCGGGUGCUAUAUUUGCUCGCUCAGCCAUUGGGAAAGGUCUCCUGGCAUCUUUGACCAUAGCUUUUUAAUAUUCAUUGGUGUAUGUCCUGUAGCAGGUGGAUAACCUGGAGGACCCAUCAUUGAGUCAGUUGGAGGGUUGUAAUUGGAGACUGCCGAUGGCAUUGAGUCUUCGUUCUCCAUUUGGGCUGACCUUUGAAUAAAGUGGACUAAGUAACCGGCAAAAUUGGCAAGGGAUUGAGGUUGUUGGUCUUCCUUGUAAUCUCUACAGUGCUCUUCGUGCUCUUCGUUUGCCCUUUGUUCGUAGUUCCUUUUCAUCUUUUUCCAGUUGUAUGCUCAGUCUGAGGUCUCCUGGCAUCUUUGACCAUAGCUUUUCAGACAAUUCCUCUCCAACACAUGGCUCUGAUGAAGUUACAUCCGAUAAUCAUCUGGAUCCUGCCUCCAAGAUGGAACGGAAAGAGAAGCUCAUGUGGACGCAAUGGCGGAUGAAGUACACAGAUGAGUUCGCUAAUUUAGUCACGAUUGGCGAAGGAAAUGAAGGAUGAUUUGUUCUUCUCUCUGCAAAGCUGGAUAAGUUCUUCGAUUUGGUGCAGGUCGGCUAGAACCUCCAUAUCUUCCAGUACCUCCUCUGUUGGCCAUUCUGAGUCUACAACGCAGGUUGUCGCUCCAGUAUCGCCUGCUCCUACAUGGAUUCCAUGCUGAAAAGCAAGACCUGAUCGAGGGAUCAUAAUAAUGAUCUGCUGUGAAAUCUAGGUCCAAAAGAAAAGCCAAAGGAGUCAAGAGGGCUCAUAUGCAGGAGAAGGAUCACGACCCCAGAUGAGAAGUCUCAUGCGAAACACAUCCAGUCCAUGUUGGAAAUCUACCAGAGGAAUGGGCUUUUGUAGAAACAAUCGCUCAAGGAGAAAUAAAGGAACGACCAUUCAUCCAGGAAGAAAGUUAAAUUAUUCUUGCUAUUGCUAUAAUCGAAAUCCGUAAAAAUCAUUUAUGAUUAAAUUACCAGUACCAGUUAGAGAUUGUUCCUAAAUAUGUAUAUUUUUUUGAUUUUUUAUGAAAAAAUAUACAAAAAAAAA